GAUGAACGCUGGCGGCACGCCUAACACAUGCAAGUCGAACGAGAAGCUACCUUCGGGUAGUGGACAGUGGCGGACGGGUGAGUAACACGUGGGAAUAUGCCUUUCGGUAGAGAACAACGCUUGGAAACGAGUGCUAAUACUCUAUACGCCCUCAGGGGGAAAGAUUUAUCGCCGAGAGAUUGGCCCGCGUUAAAUUAGCUAGUUGGUGAGGUAAUGGCUCACCAAGGCGACGAUCUAUAGCUGGUUUGAGAGGAUGAUCAGCCACACUGGGACUGAGACACGACCCAGACUCCUACGGGAGGCAGCAGUGAGGAAUAUUGGACAAUGGGGGAAACCCUGAUCCAGCGAUGCCGCGUGAGUGAAGAAGGCCUUAGGGUUGUAAAACUCUUUCAGGGGUGAAGAUAAUGACGGUAACCCCAGAAGAAGCUCCGGCUAACUCCGUGCCAGCAGCCGCGGUAAUACGGAGGGAGCUAGCGUUGUUCGGAAUUACUGGGCGUAAAGCGCGCGUAGGCGGCUUGGUAAGUAGAGGGUGAAAUCCCAGAGCUCAACUCUGGAACUGCCCCCUAAACUGCCGAGCUAGAAUCCCGGAGAGGUGAGUGG
rnacentral:rRNA from 1 species